GCCGACGUGGCGGAAUUGGUAUACGCGCAUGGCUUAGGACCAUGUUCCGAAAGGAUUGAGAGUUCGAGUCUCUCCGUCGGCACAA
rnacentral:tRNA from 1 species